GUAUAGAAGAGAAGCUUUGGAAUAAAAACUUUUAUGCCUGGCGUUUUGGCUUUGGCUUUGACAAAAUCAGUUGCUCCUGACAACGACAAGUUCAUGUUCAGAUCAGAUCAAAAACAUAUAAAAAUGAAUCUGUUUUGAUUUAAUCAACGUUUUUCUACUAAAAGGUCAAUGAAAAGGGUAUGUUGUUUUUAUAUUUUUGUAUUUUUUCUUGUCGUUUCACGAUAAUAUGCUUGAAAAAAUUGUUUUUAAUUUAAACACAAACUUUUACUUUGUUUACAACAUUUAUAUCAGUGAAGAAUGUAUGACACAAAUGGGUAAAGAAUAUAUUCGUGACUUGUUUUCACUGCUGCAAAUAAAACUUUUUUAAAUGGGAAAACAUUUAUUUUACAAUAACUGUUUAAGCUGUAAUUUUUUCGCUUUUAAGUGGCCGAAUACAUGAGCAUUUAAAAAAUAUGUAGUUUUCUCGACGUAACUUUUAUACAUGUCGAAUAAUUUUCCGACUUUCAGUCGCAUUUCUAUCAAAAUAUUGUCAAUUCUGGUGAACAUCGUGCUUAGUAUGAAGCCUUUAGGGCUUGAUGCAAUUCAUUAUUGUAUUCUGACUAUCGUUAGGCUAUGUUUUUCAAACGUUUUUGGCAGAUUUUUUCUUUUAAAAAAUUGUUUCACUCCUCAGUUUUUGUCGCGAAAGCCAGAGCGGGCAGUUGCAUUUCACAGCGGGCAGUUGCGUUUCAGAGCGGGCCGGAUGCAAAAAACCGGCCCGCUCUGAAAGGCUCUCAGCCAAUCAGAUUGCUUCAUUUUCACUGAUAAAAAAUAAAUAU